AUGCCUUCUGUGAAAGAAGCUGAAACCUCAAGCUGCACUUUUCUUUCAAGUGACAACCUUUUUUCUCCUGCCAAAUGAUCAUAAUAAUUGAAUAUGUGGGUUUAGGCUGAUUGAGGAGGACAGUAUGGCCGUUUCUUUGCAGUCGAAGUUAUAAUCUCUCUCACUUGUCAUCUCAGAAAAGAAAAGGGUUCAUUGUAAUGGAUGGUGUGUUUUUUUUGUUGAUUUUAGUUGUUUGCUUUCACCAAUAUUUAAUUGAUUUUGCUUGCCAUGGACUCCUUCAAGGGAGGCAAGACAUGAAUUUCUUUUCCGGCAAGGGACAAAAAGCAUGGGAUGCGGUUGAGAAACAAAGAAAGUGACCCAUAAUUUUCUGCCCUUUAUUUCUAAGGAAAACUAAUGAAAAGGGCUUGAAAACUUUGAGUUUUAAUGAUAAGGACAAAAUAAAGAGUAAAGUGAAUAGUACCAGGAUUGAUUUUUUAGUGUAAAAAUGUGGUUUUUCGUUAAAGUGAACAGUACCGGGUGCUUUUCGUUAAAGUUCCCUUAUUUCUAAUGUUUCUCCAAAUUCCCAAAGGUGGAACAAAGAAAAUCAUCUGUGUGAAAAAAAAUCCUAUAUGCUGGUUGUAUACAACUAUGUCUUUAUCUUCACUUAUUACGAGAUUAACUGGUGAAGUGUUUCUCGUGAGAUAGUUGUGACAUCAAAAAUCUAAAUCUAAA
rnacentral:lncRNA from 1 species